CAGAAGCCACGAGACAAACAGACACGGCUGAGCCAUACAUUUAAGGAAUCUUUUAAAGCCAAGGACUCCGAGCCUCCCAGCCAGGCUCUGGCCCUCCUGAUGUUGCUGACCUCCUGAGCAGGUAGAGAUAAAGAGUGCUGGGUAAUACAUCAGCCUGAUGGUUUCUUCAGACAGGCUGUCUUCAGGGCUCUAGAAGCCCAUACAGAAUAGAGCAGUUAGGAAGCAAGAUGAAGGCCGCAUGCACAAAGCCCUGGGUUUGAUCCCCAGACCCCCAUGAAUCAGACAUGGUGGUAAACACCUGCAAUCCUAGCAAUCAGGAGGUGAAAACAGGAGGAUUAAAGUGUCCAAGGUCAUCCUUGGCUACAUAAUACAUUCAAGACCAGACACAGCAACACAAGACCCUGCCUCCAGAAAAAAAGCAAUCUAACCCUGGCCAGGCCCCAUCAAGAUGCAAGGGUUGUGAGAGAAAGAUGGGUGGUGGCCACGGACAGAGUCUACGGACCAGGAAAUCGUGAGAAACACCGUGGACUUCAUGGGGUCUCCCGGUGGAGAAUUCUGAAGAUUGGUGCACCUUUCACUCCCAGACCACAGCCUCCCCAGUUCAUCCCAGCCAAGGAUGGAAGGGUCCCUCCCUACAUCGACAACAAGGUCUCUCUGGCAUCUCUACUGAGGAUGGGCCACUGGAAGGUCACCUGGCUGACCUCUCUCUGGAAGUUCCCGACAGCAGGAAAACACUGCAGCCUAGAAUCGUCACCGGGGCGAUUUGGGUCAUCCACCCCAAUGAUGUUUGUCAGGGGUAAAUAUUUAGUUGUUCUCUCUGCAGCCUGGAGGGAGGAGACUUUCAAUUGAAUGAAUGGUGAAUUGAAAGGUCCUUAACAUCUCUUCUUGGUCCCCUCUAGCUGUCCUGGAACUAGGAAGAGGGGUGGUUAGACAUGAUGUACCCAAGCCACUAAACUGUGCAUCUUUAAAUGGUUCAUUCGUGUUGUGUGAAUUUCACUCCUUUAUUAGAGCCCACGGCUUCUCUCUCACCUGCGUAGGACAGCCGGUCACCAUGUUUGCUCUUUUUGAUGGAGGCUUGGGAAGGUGGAGACCGAACCAGGCUGUUCACACAUACAAACACAUUCCCCAUUUGUCUGGAAGAGAACCCGACUCUGCUGGGGAAACAUGCCAACCAGGUGUCCAUUCCACCCAAGCAGAGAGAAACUUGCAUUUUGCACGAAAGAAAAUGGGCUUGGUCCAAAGAAGACUUGAAGCUGCCACUUCCUCUGUGCCUGUCCAGCACUUACAGGUCGAGACGGGGUGCGGGGCUCAGAGCCCGGCUUCUGUUCUGAAAGCGCCAACACCCAGCUCACAGGCCAAUGGCCCUCCUUCCAGCUCAAAUGGCGGUACAUCAGCAUGCCUUUAAUCCCAGUACUCAGGAGGCAGAGGCAAAUGGAUCUCUGUGAGUUCAAGGCCAAUGUUGGCUACAGAGCAAGUUCCUGGACAGCCAGGGCUACACAAAGAAACCCUGUCUUAAUAAAACAAACAAGCAAACCAAAAAAAAAAAAAGUAGAGAGCAAUAGAGGAAGAUAAAGACACCCAGUGCUGACUUCUAGCUCCAUCCCAUAUGCACAACACCACACACACACACACACACACACACAGAGCCACAAAACAAAGGAGACUGCAGUUACUCCACAGUGGCAGUUGGAAAGUUCCAGUGUUUGGGUCAAAACAUUUUUAUGAAUACAUGCUUUUCAAAGCUGUAUCCAUCCAGUUGGGUGUGGCCAUCUCUGUACUCCCGGAGGAUGUGAGAAGCAAGCUUCAAAAGGAAUCUUUGCUUUUUCACUCUUUGGUGUGAUUUGGUGGCAGGUGGGACGUGUCCAUUUGGUUUUUUGUCUUGUUUUGGUUUGGUCUGGUCUGAUGUGGCUUGGUUUUAGGCACAAUCUCACCACUUAGCUCUGGUAAGCUCGGAGUUCACUAUGUAGACCAGGCUGGCCUCAAACUCACAGAGUUCUGCCUGCCUCUGCCUCCAGAGUACUGAGAUUAAAGGUGUGCGCCACCACACACAGCCUUGCCUUAUCUUUACUUUUUAACUUUAACAUUCAACUCAAUCUGUUUCUUAGGUCUGUUUAGGAUCUCGUUUUCCUGAGAUUGAUUUUCUUGUAAGUUCUUUAUUUUAUGUUUUGAUCGACACAUAAUAAACCCAUAUACUUAGAGCUUUUUUUCCUCCUUCCCUUUUGGGUAAAAGUCCCUGGCAUCCUUACAAGAUCCUCGAAGCCCCAGCUCAGGAAGAGAGAAAGGGAGAGAACACAUGCAGUAGGUCCUCUGUGGGGACCACGUCUCAAGUGCCAGCUGUGAAUCAUUAACGAUCAAUUCUUUGUGGGGAGGGGACUUUUGGGACUUUCUUUGUUGUACUUUUAACAAUCAGGAGCCACCUUCACCCAGCAGCUUCUCUGAGCUGUCACAUUAUUUAAAUGAGAGCCUGGGUGACAUUUGUAGAUGAAUGUUUCUCGGUAGAACCUAAAAAGAUGUGUUCUGAGCACAGCUUUGAUGGGCACAGUUCGGGCUUUAAAAAUAAAGGUUCUGAGCACUUUCAUCGGGGAGUGACUUGCCGUGCUUCAGUGCGGAGACCGAGGACACUCCCAGCCACUUUGAAAAAGAACAGGGGAGAGAAAAGUUUUGUGCUUCAAGACAAACAGACGAAUGUUCCACAAGUGACAUUUGCAGGGAACGGGUGGUGGGGACACGGCGCUCAAAAUAUACUUAGAAUCUCUCUGCUCUCCAUUGUUCGUUAUGUAUCUAAUUAUUCUAGUUACGGGCUUGUCAAAGAAAGUUUUAGGUGGCACGUGUUGUUCCUUAAGGGAAAAAAAAAGUAAGUUGAAGACGAAGUCUAACUUCGUACAGGGGGUUGAAACUACCGGGGUUGGUAAACGUGGGGACCACGGCGUCCUGAUAUAGAACAAGCUGGCCACAGAUGCUGCCGUCAGUCGAUCCCUACAGAAUCCUGGCUACUUAAGGGCUCGGUCUGUAAAGGCCACGAGGCCAGGCACAGGGAUACAGGCUCCUCAGGUU
rnacentral:lncRNA from 1 species